CAUGCAAGUCGAGGGGCAUCAGGAAGAAAGCUUGCUUUCUUUGCUGGCGACCGGCGCACGGGUGAGUAACACGUAUCCAACCUGCCCUUUACUCGGGGAUAGCCUUUCGAAAGAAAGAUUAAUACCCGAUGGGAUAAUCAUUCCGCAUGGUUUGAUUAUUAAAGGAUUCCGGUAAAGGAUGGGGAUGCGUUCCAUUAGGUUGUUGGUGAGGUAACGGCCCACCAAGCCUUCGAUGGAUAGGGGUUCUGAGAGGAAGGUCCCCCACAUUGGAACUGAGACACGGUCCAAACUCCUACGGGAGGCAGCAGUGAGGAAUAUUGGUCAAUGGGCGCGAGCCUGAACCAGCCAAGUAGCGUGAAGGAUGACUGCCCUAUGGGUUGUAAACUUCUUUUAUAUUAGAAUAAAGUGCAGUAUGUAUACUGUUUUGUAUGUAUAAUAUGAAUAAGGAUCGGCUAACUCCGUGCCAGCAGCCGCGGUAAUACGGAGGAUCCGAGCGUUAUCCGGAUUUAUUGGGUUUAAAGGGAGCGUAGGUGGACUGGUAAGUCAGUUGUGAAAGUUUGCGGCUCAACCGUAAAAUUGCAGUUGAUACUGUCAGUCUUGAGUACAGUAGAGGUGGGCGGAAUUCGUGGUGU
rnacentral:rRNA from 1 species